ensembl:lncRNA
CAGAGCCUCGCGCGGAUCAACGGCAAACCACUCAUCUCGUGCGAGGGCGGGGGGCGCCCACUUUGCCUAGCAGCUUGGCUCAGAUCAAACCGACGUCUUCAUGGAUGUCAGGGAUCCCACCUGCCAGGUUCUGGCCAAGGCAUUGUUGGACGGGACGAUGGGCAUCAGCAUGGACACGGCUGGCUGCUGGUGAUCUGAGUUGCCGCUGGCCGACGGGCUGCACUGGAGGGACAGUGGCCAGCCAGGGGCAAAACAAGCAUCUUUCUGUGGGGAUGAGUCCGCAGAAAACUCCCAACCCUCAGCCAGCGGUUGGGUCAGGCAGCAGCCAGCGGCAAAGUCUCCAGAAAAGAUCAGAGAAAGAGAAGACGGCUUACAACCUCGGAGCUCCAGGUCCUGCCAGUGAAUCCUCAGCGGCCAUGCAGGCAGGAAUCCAGCAGGCCUGGCCCCGACCUGGCCCCGCACCUCCUUAUCUGAAGCUGGUAUCUUAGGCAGCCCUCAUGGUGAAGUCUGUAUUGAAUUUUGCUGAGCAUUUUAAAUAAAAUUCAGUGACUUCCUCCAAAUUUCUUAGAGUCUGAAAUGUAGUUCACUAUGUCCUCUAAGCACAAACAGAAGAAAAUCCUACCAUAUUAGGUAUGAAAUUCAGAACAAUGACUAUUGAAAGUGAGAGGUUUCAGCAUUGGAGUGGAUCCUAACGGAAAUACUCUAAAAAGGGGAACAUCCUGGUUACCUGGACAUUUGAGUAAGGACUACCCAUCAGCUCUCUGAUAUUUAGGCUCCAACAGGCAAAUGAAGGAUUCCCCAAAACCAAUGUGGAAGUCAGAGGAGAUAUGUCUUCAAUUGCCUAGAAAGUUUUAUUGACUCUUCAGGAGGCAUCCAUGCCUUCAUAAAAACAAAUCCUCCCAUUGAAUCACUGUCAAGCGCCUCAGCAGGUGCUGGCUUGCUGGUGAGGUAAUUAUUCCUUGGGAUUUAUGAUUUGCCAAGCACAGCACAGAGGCUUCCUUCAGAGGGGCAUGGCUGUGCCAAGACCUCAUACCCGCUAACCCCUCAAUUUUGGAUUCCUAGCCUCCAGAACUGUGAGAGAAUAGAGCUCUGCUAUUUUACACCACUCAAUUUAUGGUACUCUGUUAUGUUUUCACUAGGAAACAAAUACACCUCUCCAAAUCUUUGACUCUUGAAAAUAUACCUUAAUCAAGGAAAUGAGAGGGGCAAUAUUAUAGGGACAGCCUUGAAUUCACUCUAAAAACAAAAUUAUUUCCCAAAUCUCAUGAUUUGAAAUGGAAUUUGUAAACAACUCACAGCACAUUUCCCAAUGAAGCACAUACAUCCAAGCAAUCUACUGCCAGACCCAGGAAGUGUUAAUCCCACUGGUUACUUUCACUUUACUAAGAAAAUGGAGAGCCAAGAGGCCAAAUGGCUCCCCAAAGUGACAGAGAAGCUUCCCUGUGUGUUCUUCCUCAUGCCUGGCCCACUUUGUUCUAGCCAACUCCUUUGAGCACAGGUAAAGAAAGACCACAUGAAGAAUGCAAAAGACACUUGAUCAUUGCUUAUAUCAGUCCCCAAAUGUCACCCUCUGACUCCAGUUUAAAUCAUUUCUCGCAGGAUAGGUGAAGGUUGAAGCUUCCAUAAGCAAUUCUGCUCAUAACUCUGCCUUUGAAGGCUGAUAAAGUGAUUCAUUUAGGCUGCUGUACAAACUGAGUAACUAUUCAGCGUGCUAGAAUUGGGAUGUGACACAAUAUCUGUGUCAGGGCAUAGAUCUUGGGCAGGGGAGGGAGAGCACCAGAAUGCUAUUGCUGUGAAAAGACUCAGACUGAUUAUUAAACCCUCCUUGAAUAGGAAAAUCAAGAUCUUGAUGGGUCAUCAAGAAGGCUACAAUAUAACUUUGAAGUGUGUAGUUUCUCUGAACCUCAAACAAAACUCUUAUGCAAUCUUCAAAGACAGCCAAGAUAAAAUGUCAAAAACUGGAACAUGAAGAAUUUAUAAGUGUAAUUAGCUAAUAUCUUUAGCCUGAACAGAUGUCCUUCUGGUUAAGAUGACCUUCCAACAAGAGGAGUUUGCUGGCCUAGAUUUUUCAGCAUAAUAAUCUCAUUUGUUUGCUAUCUGCCUGCUAAUUUAGUUUUCAUUCAUGUUCCUGAAAGUAAUAAAUCUAAUACAUUUUAGACAAAAAUCAACAAAGUUACAUGAAAAAAAGAAACUCAUCUGCCAAUGAAAAGCUCCUAUCUACUUGUAUUAGAAUGUGGAGACUAGCACAAAUAAGCUUUGAAACAGCACCUCAAAGGGGACCCAAAUUAUUCACAAGUGAACAAGUACUGGAGUUUGAGACUAAAAACCUGAGCUAUAACAGGAUAAGCUCAUUGAGACAGACACUAGAAGAGGAAAUAGGGAGCUGUGCUGGGAGAUGACCAAGACGAGCAAAGCCAGCAGAUCAGAAUUCUAUUCUCAACAACCACUGCAGUAUCUAUAUGAAAGAAAAAUGAAAAAUAGGAAGGCUAGGAGCCAGGCAGAAAGAAGAUCAGGAACAGAAUUGAGAGGAAGCAAGGAGAGUAUAGACAAUAGCUUUUAAUGAAAUAAACUCUUAAUGUGCUGAACUGGAUUAAAGCUGUGACAGG